AAUGAACGUUGGCGGCGUGGAUUAGGCAUGCAAGUCGAGCGGUAGGGAACUGCUCACUUCAAGCUGUUUGGCUAAUAGCUAAAAGCUAGUAGCUAACAGCUUCGAAGUGAGCAGUUCCUGAGAGCGGCGAAAGGGAGAGUAACGCGUAGUUACGUGCCCCGAGGACCGGAAUAGCCACGGGAAACUGUGGGUAAUGCCGGAUGUUGUCUUCGGACUAAAGGUGUGAUUCCGCCUGGGAGCGGACUGCGUUGUACUAGCUAGUUGGUAGGGUAAUGGCCUACCAAGGCGAUGAUGCAUAGCGGGUGUGAGAGCAUGACCCGUCUCACUGGGACUGAGACACUGCCCAGACACCUACGGGUGCUGCAGUCGAGAAUCUUCGGCAAUGCGCGCAAGCGUGACCGAGCGACGCCGUGUGUGGGAUGAAGGCCU
rnacentral:rRNA from 1 species